rnacentral:tRNA from 1 species
GAUAGAAUGGCUGAGUUUAAGCGAUAAAUUGUAAAUUUAUUUACGAAUGUAUAUUCUUCUAUCA